CUCCCUAUACCCGGUGGUGGUGAGAUGUGACUGGUGGCCAGCCCCUGCCUCAUCCCUUGCAAGCGUUAAAAGGGUCUCACUCUAUUGCCCUGGCUGGAAUGCCUUCGUGUGAUCUCCUCUCACUGCAACCUCCACCUCCCAGGUUCAAGCGAUUCUCCCACCUCAGCCUCCCGGUGCCUGGGACUACAGGCUAUGCCACCAUGCCCAGCUAAUUUUUGUAUUUUUUGGUAGAGACGGGUUUCACUAUGUUGGCCAGGCUUGUCUUGAACUCCUGACCUCAAGUGAUCCACUGGCCUUGGCCUCCCAAAGUGCUGGGAUCACAGGCAUGAGCCACCGUGCCCAGUCCCUUUUGACUUCUUGGUGCCCUUGUCCUCUUUUCGUACCUCUAGCUGUAGACAGCAGCAAAAAGCCUAUGGCAGUUCAAAACUUUAUAGCAAUAAUAAAAUUUCUAAAGUCUAAUUUUCUCAUGCCUGCUAUCCUAGUACAAUAGAAUUUGUCCUGAAAUUGGAAGGAUUUAGAUUAUAUAUUAGGAAGAACUCUAUAGAUUGAGCAGUACUGUUCCUGUGAUCAUAAAUUCCUUUCUCAGAAGCUCUUCAAAAACAGAACUGAUUUCUACCUGCCCGGAGUGUUUCAGGUACCCUACCUGGGAGGGGAGGGGAAGUAAAAGGAAAAGACAUUUGUGGCACCUCUCCAGGGGGCUGGGCAUGGUCCCAGCCCUAGUGUACAGAGAAUAAGAAGAUACUGUCCUCACCCUCAAGGGCUGUUGGUUCACUGGGUCCCUUAGGAUUCAAGCAACAGUCCUCUUGCUCCUACCCUUGGCUCCUUCUAAGGGAGGAGACCACCCCUGAUAUUGUCUUAUGCCCAAUUUCUGCCUCCAGAGAAAGAAAAAGUAAAAACUAAAAGGCAGAAAUGAAAUCCACAAGCAGACAGCCCGGCGCCACACCCUGGGCCUGGUAGUUAAAGAUCUACCCCUGACCUAAUCAGUUAUGUUAUCUAUAGAUUACAGACUUUGUAUAGAAAAGCACUGCGAAAAUCCCUGUCCUGUUCUGUUCCGUUCUAAUUACCAGUGCAUGCAUCCCCCAGUCACGUACCCCCUGCUUGCUCAAUUGAUCACGACCCUCUCACACAGACCCCCUUAGAGUUGUAAGCCCUUAAAAGGGACAGGAAUUGCUCACUCGGGGAGCGUGGUUGUUGGAGACGUGAGUCUUGCUGAAGCUCCCAGACGAAUAAAGCCCUUCCUUCUUUAACUCA